AGCUUUGCACAGUGGCAGUAUCAUCGCCAAUGAGGUUUAUCCGAGGCACAAUUAUUGCUAAUUAAAAUGUACAGUUAACUAUAUUAUUUUUCUAGGACUAUGAAUUCUCCAUCACAGAAAGUGUCCCUUAAUAUUAGU
rnacentral:snRNA from 1 species